GGCUCCGCGGGACGGGGGGACUCAACCCAGGGCAGGGAGGGGAGAGCCCCCUUCCGCCCGCCGUGCCGGGGCGGGUUUCCCCGGACGAAGCGGGGACCGUCCUGCAAGGAAGGUAAUGCCCCCAGACCCAGAGUGCGCCUGGGAACGCUGCCACCAGAGCUCCGGGAUCAGCCGAAGCUGGAGAAAAGUUAUCUCACCGGGAGGAACCUUCCUAGAAACGUAGGAUGGGAAAUGCCGGGAAUGAAUGAGGAUGCUUGUGCACGGUUCCUGUGGUAAAAACAACCCGUAGGGAAGGUAAAGCGGCUUACCCCACGGCUUCCCGGUGAGCGCACGCACACGGACAGGUGAACGCAUCCCAACGCAGCUUCGACGGCGGUGUGCAGGAGAGCUCGGUCUGUAACACACGGAUGGAGGCUCUCAUGUCGGUGCCAGCUCCUGAAGCAUCCAUAGCAUGGCUCAUAGCGACUGAGGAAAGGGACCCGAUUGAACUUAGUUGAAGCAAAUACCCGCAGUAGAGGGAAGGACUCGCCCCAUGGCCGGCAUCCAAAAGGCUGCGCUCAGUGGAAGAAUGCACCAGCUCCCUGCAGCAGGAGCCUGAGGGACCUCACUGGGACCACAGGGCCCCUCUCCCAGCCUGGUGUCCCCCACCAGGCAGCGUCCCCAUCCCGAGGAGGUUGGGGUCUGUCUCAAAGGUAUCAGUCUGCUGGGUGACACAUUUACAAGUGAGUACACUUGGAACAUGCGCUCUGAAAGCACAGCACAUUUCCCUGCUGGUUGCACAAGCUCUUCUCCGGUGACUCUGUGCAAUAGCAAAGGUAACACCUGACCCUCACCAUGGCUGAGCAUGUGCUUCGUGCAAGGAGAAAAAGCAAAGUGCAGCAGCAACAGGCGACUGUGUGCAACGGUGUGGCAGAGUCCAGGCUGCAUCCCCUGGAGUAUCUCUCCCUGAGGGCUGAAUUGAGUGGGUUUACCUCACCUCCAAGUACAUGUUACUGGAAGCGGCGCUAAUGUGGCUUGGUGUGUACACAGCUACUUGACUGUAAAGCUGCCUCAUGUAAGACAUGAGCAAACUGUUGUACUUCAAGGCAGAGCAGUGCGAGCAUUCAUGAAAAAGUGUCGGCAUUGUUUUAGCACUCUCUGAAAUCAGUCUCCAUGUAGGAAAUUAUCCUGGAAUUCUUGGGUCAGCAUUAUAUUCAAUAAUGAUCUCACUGCUUAAGUAUAAUUAUAUAUAAAUGGUUUUUCUUGGUCCUAACUAAAGGACUUUAGGUGAGUUGACUCACAUAAAGAACAACAAAGGCUUGAAAUAAAACCAUCUGAGUUAUCCUAGAGAGAAAAUAAUGAUAGCAAUGAGGGAAAGAACAUUUUUAGAAAGGAUAUUGGCUUAGAGCUGGCUGUGUACCAUUAAAGCACUGGCAUGGGCCUCAGCCUGUGUUCAUAGGCAGGUAAUGUUCCACUGCAGUAAUGUGAAAAGGAAAUCUCGUUUUGUAGCUUCUUGCUAUGGCUGAAGAAUGGUGGGCUCUGACAAACAGGGAGUUGCAGAGCCUUGCAACAUGCCUUGGGCGCAUUCCUAUAACACAAUCCAAAGUUAUCUUCUAAUUAAGCUGCAAUCUUUCACAAAAGAAUGGGGCAUUACUGUGAACAGUCCUCUGGACAGGCAAACGCCCCAUCAAACAAAGCAUUAACACUCAGAAAUACGGGGACAAAAAGGCAAGGGAAAUGUGACAGGACUGACAGCAUGUGCUGCUCACCAUCUCUGUGAGUGCUGCAUCCAGCACCAGCACCACACCCUGUGCACAGCGAUCUCCCUAGCCAGCAUACGAUUCAGGAAUUAAACAUGUAUCAGCCAGUAGAGAUCCUUCUGGUUUUGAAUCAACCCAAAUGAAUAUCUUAUGCUGUUGAUAACACACUUUUUCAGAAGCUCGGGGAAACUAAUAUUGACUCCAGGGAGGCACAAUCUGCCAACUGGGAGAGACCGCGGGCUGCAAGGGGAAUUCUGCCCCUGCCUUAGCAGUCUGUCGCUGUGCUCAACAGCCUUCAGUGCUUCCCACUUCCACUUGGAGUAGAUCUGGCUCCAGCUUCCAGCUGUUGCUUCCUGUAAUGCCUUACUGCACAUAGCUGAAGUGUCCUUUCAGAUGUAAUAUUUUGUGAAACCUUUUUUAUUCCACAUAUUUAUCUUUUCUUUUUUCCUGAGAGAAGACACAGAUACACCUCCUUAAUAUUCCGAAGACUUUUUAUACCUUUUUAUACCAUUUUUCUUGUGCUCUGUGCAGUUUUUCAACUACAAUUGUAGAAUUUUGAAACAAGAACUCGUUACUUACUUUUACCCUCUUUUGCCAGAGGUGUGUGUGAAGUAAAGUACCUUCUUAGCAACUUCUGUUUAUGCUUGAGGAUUGCAUCUAUUUAUUUGUCUGUUUGUUUAUCUGUUUGUUUGUUUGUUUAUUGCCACAACAGAAUUUUAAAGACAAGGAGUGCACGCUUCCCCGCUUUCCCACUGGGACCUCUAUGUAUUUUCGCUAUUAGAAGUCCAAACUAUGGACUACACUGUGAUGAGGACAGAUGGUAGGGGGUUAAUUCUGAUGCUUCUUCCGAGCCGUCAUAUAGCUGACUGAGACUGCACACAACCAACUCAAUGCUUUGGCGAUGCCAUGCAAUCAUAUGACACCUGCUCGUGCUGCCCAUAGUGUCAUUCUUUCCAGGACCCUUUCCACUGCCCACCUGCUGUGUUCCUAGAUGUGCAGCACUGCUACUGGCUCCAUUCACAUGCUGCUUGCUUGAAAGUGCCCGCAGGCUUACCAGCAGGCUCGGGUCUUUCCAUAUGUCCCAUUUCCCAUCUUACUCACCAGCCUUCUUGCCAGCACAUUACCUACAAAAUUUAUUGGUCAGAUUUUAUAUCAAUUUUCAAAUUGUCCGUGAGCAUCUUGAACAGUCCACAAACUAUCUAAUACAAAUACUCCUAUAUAAUAAAGAUUUUCUGCUGCUCCAGUUUUAUGCAUUUUUGUCCAUUUUUUAUGUGUUUCGUUUUUGUGUGUAACGUCUCCUCUAUGAGAUGUUAACUUCGGUUUCAACAGGCUUCCUGUUUCUGUGCUCUUAUUUUAGUCUCAAAUGUCUGAAGGGUUCAGUGCAUACCUAACUUUAAGUUAGACAUAUAAUUGGUGGGUUUUCAGGGGUGAAAUCUGGCUGAAAUGAAUGAAGAUUAACACCUCCAUUUUUGUUUCUUAUCCAUGUAGUCCCUGUGUUCAGUCUUCCUAAAAGAUCUCUGUUUCUUCUUAGGACACGGCAACUGUUACCAUGGUUUUCUCAGCAUUGUUUCUGAGGUGCAGUCCCUGGGUCCAUGUGGGUGAAGAUUUCAGGGUCAGAAAUUGCUGGUUUGAUUGCAUUCAUGGGCACUGAAUUCAUGAAGCUUACAGAUAAAAUUCAGCAUGAUAAAGUUUCAGACAGAGGGAGGUAGGUGGCAGAGGAAGACUGCAGCUUGAGAAAGUGAGUAGCUAGAUGCAAGGAAACAACAAGACUGCCAGAUUCUUAGCUGAGCAUAAACAGGUAAUGUAUAUGCUUUUAUUUUUGUCUGCUCCUACUUUUGUGUAAUAAAGACAACACAAAGCUAGGAAGGGAAAAAGAAAGAUUCCCAUUUGCUUCCAUGAUUAAGCCUUUCAUGAGUGGGACCAUCUAUUGUUCAGAACAGGCAACAGUCUAUCAUACUGGAGGGGCUCACUGGUUCAUUUCAAUUUUCUUCAAUGUGUAUUUGGUUAAGCCUCAAGAAAAUAUCACUGGGAAAAUGUCAAGAAUAUUUUUUUAAACAAAAUAAGUGUAAAAGAGUAAAAAGAAAAUUCUCAGCAAAAUACUGGAGGUGGAGCCAUGGUACAGGGAAUUGUGUUCUCAUCUCCUGGAAUUGCCCCAAAUAAUGUAGCUCCUGGGCUGAGUGCAGAUAGGUGUGAUUUCAGAAGCUGAAAAAUAUCCUGACUUCCUUAAACUGAACAAAAUCCCCAUUUUAACAUUUCUUAUGGCCAUACAAAAUGAAUUUCUUAAUCCUAAUGGUUGCAAAAGAUAAUCCCAUCUUUAGAAGUAAACCUGGAACAGGAAAGAGGGAGAAAGACAAUAAGAAAGGAAGGUAUUGCCACAGCAGAUAUGCACCCAGCACACAUGAGGGAGGGUGGGAUGAGACAAAUUAAAACAUCAUUUUAUUUUCUUAGUAAUACCUACUACUGAAGCCUAACACACUGGAAACAAUCAUAUUGUAGCCCAGCCAGAGGCUGUGCCAUAAUUUCCUGUUUGUACCGAUGUAGAUUUAUCUCACUUAAUAUGGAAAGAUAAUAAAAUAAUAUGCAAGGAAUUAUUUAUAAUAAGUAAUGAUGCACCAGAUAUGUAACUUGUGCCCCAUGCCCCUGCUUGUACAAAAAUAAAUAAAUAAAUAAAUAAAUAAUGGUUCUAGAACAAGAACAAAAUUAUAGAUCCCAAAUAAUAUUUAUUGCACAUCAACAAAGGGAAAUGUGCAUACCAGGUUUCAUGUGCUGGGAUGAUCACACAGGAUGGAUAUACAUUUUCGAAAAGGAUCUUUUCUCAUGCUGAGGUAGACACUUUCCUGAACUGUGAGGUGUUUUACAUGUACACAUAAUUCAACCAGUGGGGUGGCAGAGAGGGUAAGAGCCAGCAAUUUAUAGACACUAUGCUGUUUUAUACUUCUCCCAUGAUAAUGCUUCCUUCUGAAAUCAUCCAAAGAUGACUUGCAUGUGUUGGAGUACUUCUGGUCUAUAGAGUGGAGAUGGAAAUGGCAUCAUAACAAACCGAGUUUUUGAGGUGCAGAUUCAAUUUAUAAACCAAGCUUUAAAAAAAUAUAUAUUUUUAGACUACGUAACAGAGAAUGAAAACUCAAUUCAGAGAGUUAUUCCAGUUUGGGAAAUCUUUUAAAACUCCUGGUGUAAGCUGCUAAGAGCCAAAUGCACAGGAGAACAUGCUUCGAGUUUCUGUUUCACAAGAAGUGGAUAGGCAGAGCCUUGUUUAGGCUCAGAAUUUGGCAUUACUUUUUGACAAGUGUUUGAAGAAAUUUUUUGUAACUCACAAACAGUUCACUGACUGGGUAGAAGGAUGGCAUACUGUAGAGGAGAGCACGAAUUCUGAACCAUUUAUGUGUCCAUGGUUGUUGAGAUAGUACAACUGCUGCAUUAGAUAAACUGACGUGCCCUCCAUCAUGGCAUUACUUUUUGUUACACUCUUGGUCAUGGGGAGCAAUUUUACAAUUGACAUGGCCCUUGUCCUGAUGUGCCCCUCUAUCCCCAAAGAUGGCAUUACUGUGGAAGGUGUUGCUCCACAGUGCAGGGAUCCCCUACAGGGCAGCUGGUAGCAGAAGAAGUGGGGGGUGGUUUUCAGAGAAAUCAGAAAUGGGCAAGAAAAAGCUGUUGGGAAAUGUCUGCCAUCAGCUCCACACUUGAGAGGAAGAGCAGGAGCCCCAGGAAUCUCCUUCCUUUCCCGCAUGCCCUGUGCUGCGUUCCAGCCUCCUGCACACCCGAGGACAGAAGCAUGUCUUUCAGUAUGCCGUGUCUUUCCAGCAUGUGCGUGCCAAGCCAUACUUCAGUCUCUCGCCUUCCAGCACCAUGCAAACUCCACAGUCCUCACAUUCCCGCAGCACUGGACACCCCGCUCUUACCUCUUGCAGUUGGUAGCACAGCUUGCUGAUGUGCUCCAGGGAAAACCUAGAGCAGAUUAAGGGGUACUGUGUUCCUUUAUAAAAGAAAAUCCCCUCAUGCUCUUCACCAGAGAUUCAGAAGUUGGCCACAAAUCUUUUUUCAUGUUACUUUUGUGUAUUACCCUGACAGAGUGUCACCCCAUAAAAAUAGGGCAGCAUUCAUGUGUUCAGCACUAUUCAGUUUGCCCUAUCCUGGGACUUCUCUUGAAGCUCUCUGAAAAACGCACACUUUUCCUUCAUUCCCAGCAGCAUCCUAAGAGACUGCCACAUGACACCAUUCUAUGCUUCUGUUAUUUGAGAAAAGCAAGAUGACUCCCACUCCAUGAAUUGUAUCAGUGUUAAUCUCCUAAAUCAGUGAUGCUGCCUCACGGCUUUUACAUAGAUGAGAGAAACCUGGCACAAGGGUAAAAUAAACUUUCCAAAGAGUAUUCAGGGCAUCCCGAGACCGCAUGUUUUCGUCCAAGUAGUUACAUUGCUUAGGUCAGAAAUGUGCUUUCUUCCGCAUUUAGGCAAUUGCAUGGUGCUGAAUUGACUCUAGAUUCAAAAAACAGUGAGGAGAAAAAAAUAUUAUAUGUUAUAAUUAAUUUAGUAGAAAGGCAACUAUUUCUAAGCCAAUCCACUUUUUUUUCUUCAGCAGUGCUUCUUUGUAUUCACCAGCCAUUUUUCUGUACUAAAGAUAUAAAUCAGUUCUAAAUUUAUCUGCCAAUACAGAGUGAAUCCUUUUGCUUUUCAGAGAGAAUAAAAAUUAUUUACAAUGCAUGUGAAAACAUACACAAAAAAUAUGUAUUGUCUUUCACAUUGAAGAGCACCAAAUGUACUGGAAGUUGUAGGUUGCAUGUCUGCUAAAUUGUUCCCACCAAGAUUAUUUGCCUACUUAUUCGUCUACCUAUCUGAAGAUCUGCCUGUCUAUUUACCUUCCUAUCUAUCCGCCUAACUUCUUAUCUACCUAAUAGCCUAUUAUACUAAUAUUCUUAAAAUGAUCAAAUACAUAAGUAAAGACAAUUUGAAAGGAAUUUCAUGGAAAUUCAAUGCCUCUGAAUACCUGGAAGUCCAGCCUUCAGAUCAAAAAUGUCUGACACGAGAGCUCCUAAUUCAAUGGUUGUAAAGAGCACUUUGGUUUCCCAGAGUUUAGUAGAUUCAUCAGUAAGAUUCAACUCCAGUUUAUUGUCUUUUGACCCAUUUCCAGUUUGCUGUUGUAUUCUGUAGAAACAGUUGGCCCAACACAUAACCACUGAUUUCCCACAACCCUACUGGGUUUACAUUUUUCUGUUUCCCUCAUCUCUCUGCUUUUUUUUUUAGUUUUCAAUAACUGCAAAAUGAUAUCCUUUGGGAACAUUAACAUCUUUAAAAAUCCUGGUACAGAUCAAUUAGAGUUCAGCUAUAUAAUAUACACUACAGAUGAUGACAAUUUAAUUCUCCAGUGUUUGAUUAUUUUGAGACAGCAUUCUCUGAUGUUAUUGCUGUCUGGUGCUUGUUCUGUUGUCAUGGGGGGAACAUCCACCUUACACCCCACUCUGUCAGAGUCCUCCUGUCAGCCCGUUUUGCUAAAGUCAGCUGGUGUUUCAGCUCCAGGAGACCCCAGUACACCUUGAUCUGUAAGCCUUCUCAGGGCAGGUGCUGUUGAUACGCAAAAAAUGCACCUUCCACUUGCACUGGGGUUUCCCACUCCACCUGCUUGCUAACCUAGAGAGAACAACAGCUGGAUAAACAAGAAAAUAGAUUGAUAUAAGUGAGGCCUUUAGGAAGGGGAAAAGAAGGUGUGGAGGAAGAACAGAAAUUUUCUGAAACAUGCUAAAUGAGUAUUGCCACUAUGGGCAACAGCAAAUGCAGUGAGGCUGAGCCUGCAGAAAUAUUUGUUAUAAACACAACUCUUUCCAAAAACUAUUUUCUUGGUUAAUUUACAUGCAUUGACUGCUUUCUACUGAUCAGUUUACAUAAAUACAUGUACUUUUGACUUUACUGAUUAAAUGGAGUUUGUGACGUCUCAGAAUGGAGUACCACUGGUCACUUGGGAUGUGCUCCCAAAUAAACACAUUCUGGCAUAAUGUGACAAAUGUACAGUGAGUAGAAUUGUUUAUUGUGAAAAAGAUAGUAGAAGUGGUUAAAAAAUCUAUGCAUAUAUACAUAUGCAAAUAUACAUGCACACAUACACAUGUAUACAUGCAUAUAAUGUAUGUCACAACUGCCCAUACUUUGGAGGAAUGCUGGUUUCUGUUUUCUGUAGAUCAAAUGCCCACAUCACCAAAAAUGCACUCUCAAACCCACAGUGAAAAUCCACAGGGACUGGGGCUCAGAAUAUUUCCAGUUCUGCGGAUAUUCUGGACUUUAAAAUGUUAUAAAACUAUAUAUUUUUCUGUUUCUUUUCCCCCAGUACGUGCUUACUUCUUUAGCUGGUUAGAAUGUUCUAUUUUUCCCUGGUCCCAAUUUGUGAACAUAUAGGAAAAUACUGAGCGAACAGGGAAAUAUUUUGGAAAAAAUAUUCCAUCCUCAUUUGACUCUGGAAAACUCUUUCACUGGUAAAAGUCACCUGUACCAAAUUGCCUGUGUUAGUGAGUGAAGUUCUCAGAAAAAAUGUGCAUAUAGGACAACUUACGGAAUCAGAAUCUAUUCUAGAAGUGAAUUAAGGCAGGGACAGGGAAUAGUUAGGAAAAAAUGGGUUUAAUUAGGAAAGAGAUAACGUAGAAUAAAUGCAGUGGAUGCUCCUCAGUUUAUAAAAGUAGUUCAAAGCCAUUUCCCCUUUCCAUGCUCUUCUGGAUCUGCCAGUUUAUAUCUCCCUGUAUCAACAUAUCACCACUACAAACUAGGGUAGCUGGGGAGUGGUGCAUUCUGUAGGAUGACCCAUAGAGAAGGGUUCCAGUGGCUAAGCUUGCUAGAGAGAGCAUCUUUGUGUUAUAGAUUUGUAGUAGCAUUUUUUAUUUGAUCUCAAGAACAUCUUACAGAGGGAAGAUCACCUCCUCCAUUUUGGCAAAUCUUCCAGGCACAAAGGAGUCUUUGGUUGAAAAAUGAUGUGAUCCAACAAACUAUCAUGACAAGUACUUGCAUGUCAGCUGCAGAUUACGGUCCAUUAGAUUUGGGUGCGCAGUGGAGAGAGACCUACCUUUGAUAACUCAAAGACAGGAGGUACACUAUGUGGGCCAUAACCAGGUAUUGUAAUAUGCUUCAAAGAAUCUGUGGACGAGAGGAUUUCUUGUUUAUUACCAGCAAUGUCAAAUGACAGGUGCGAAAUAAAUUUUAUCUAAAAAGCUUGUGUGAUGGUCAAGUUUUGGAGGUGUUGAGAACCAAACACUUUGACAUUACACUCUGUGUAGUCAUUCCAGUGGUUCAUAAACACCUAGUUCUGGCAGUCUGAAUCCAGACAUCGAGGAAAAAAUCUGUGGUGCUGAAUUUACUCUGAGCAAUCAGAAUCUCAUCCACUGACCCCCAAAAGAUUUAGAGAGACUUUAAAAAGAAAUGCUUAAAGCAAGAUAUACAAAUAAGAAUUCUGUAAAAUCUUUUAACAGUGGUCUUAUAUACAUUGGUUUCAUGUUAUAUAAUGGCAUGUCAGACAUGCUCUGGCUCUAUCUGAGAGCUGAGCCCUUUUCACUCAACACAGUACAGAGCACACACAAUCCUCAACUGGUAACAACUCCAUUCUUCUCAUGGACAACAUAUUUUGGAAGACACUGAGAGACUGUAUUCAAAAUAAAUAUAGUGUAAAUAUGAAAGACGUAAUUGUAAAGAAGCAUUUCACGCACGUUCAAAUUAUGCCUGGACAAAUUAUUUUGUGAGAAAAAUAACACAGUGCAGGGAAAAGGGAAAGCACGAUUGAGUGGAGUGGACAAAGAGACAGCUCAGAUGAGCUUGGCUGAACAGCAGUUACUAGGCUGUAAGAAAUGGACACGGCAAAUGUACUGCAUUUGCUUAAGACUCCAUGAAACUCCAGGGAAAACAGAGUAUUCAUAGAGUGGCUCCACUUGACAGUGAAAAAGUUUCAUUAUUAUUAGUCAUAUGCUGAGGAUGUCAAGGAAUUUUAAGGCCGCACUCUUUGCAUUUUUAGAGGUUAUUAAUGAAAUAGCAUAGCAAGGUGAAUUACAUUAAAAUAUUUUUCUAACCAUUCCAGAAAUCUGGGUCCAAGUUGGCAUAGGGCUGGCAAGUGGUGAACUUUUGACCGAAGCUCGGAUUGCCGGGAGACACAUCCUCCUUGUUAGUUUCGGGUGACAGUUCACUGUACUAGAGACAUCCACUUGUGUGUAAAGAGGCGAGUGGGGGAGGAAGAUUUAGCACUGCAUUUUCACAGGGGCAAGAAAUUCCAUCCAGCUCAAAUGUGUUUUGGCCUGAUGCCCAGCUCCUUGUCAAACACAUGACCAUCACUCGGCUUCCUAUUUCUGGCCCAAAUCUGGAUCCUGGGGAUAAGCGAGCCCCAUUAGUGGUUAAAAUUAGGCAGCCGAGCUCUGACUACACAUACUGACUCUCCAACAGAGGGUAGACAUAUUUAAAACCAAAAAAGAGCAAGAUGCACCAAGAUUUAAUGUUCGCACCAUGUAUAAUCCAAGUUUGGACUCCUAUAAUGCAAAUAGCAGUAGAUCCACUUCAUGGAAAGGACUUUGUAGGCUUUUCUGACUACCCUCUGACCAAAGAUUUCCUAUAAUGAUUGCUAAAGACAAGAACAUGUCAUUAGGCUUUUCAUGGUAGAAAUCCGUUGUCUUGGGUUCUUACCCUGUCACGAUUUAGUCAUACGUUGGACAAAUUCUCCUGACUUGAGUAUGAAGAACCAGGACAUCUGCUUUCUACAUGGCUGUACUAUAACUGAAAAUUUAUUUCAAAUUAAAACAGCAGCUGACUAACUGGUUGGAAAGUAGACAUUUUGGAUUGCUUAGUAAUCAGAAAAUUCACUUUGCCAAAACCAAAUGAGUCAAACUGUGAACAUACAGACUAUUUUACUGGAUGCAGCAUUUGCUUGGCUAGUGACAUUGGUCAUGGCAGUCUGUUGGGCAAGGUCCCACACAGCUCUCUGGGUUUCAUCGUACUUCCAUAGCUUAAAAUUCUCUCCUUGAAUCCAGUCAAGAAAGACCACUGUCUGUCCUUGGAACGCUUUCCUAAGUUUUUUCCAUAUAUUGAGAUGUACCUAAGAAAUCAGCUAGGGAAUAUCAGGUUCGGUAAGCUGGCUCUUGUAGCUGUAGAUGUUUUGUUUAAUUACAGCAACUUUAAGAAGUGAACAUGCAUUUCCAUGUAGGCUCUGCACCCUUUCUCAUCACUGCUAAUCUGUGUGUUAUAACUCUAAACUGAGAAAUGUUGUGAAGAUCAAACUGAUCUCUUAUCAUGAGCCAUUGCAUCGCACAACCACCUGUUCCAGUCAGUCUUUUAAACCUUUUAAAAAUGGAUAUGAAUUUAGUAUAUCCUCUUGUCUCCUCUCUGUGUAAGCUUUUAGGUCUUGUAAUUGUCUUGACACUCUGAGAGUUGCAGCAUGGUUUCUGCCAGCUAUAUUGGUGAGGAGGAGCACAAGAACCGCUCCAAGCACAUCUGGCUGGGACUGCUUUCUUGGCAUCCAGCAUCAGGGGCAAUAAGGACAGGAAAGGCCCACCUGAUGUCUGCUGAUCACAUAAAGAGACAAUUCACUAGUCCACAAGGUGCCUAAAUGUGCAUGGUAAAAACAAGACUUAAGUUUUAUACAGAGAAAAAUGUGGUAAGUAAGAUAGGCUGGAACAGCACAUCCAUUGCAGAAAAGUCUGUUAAGGAGACAGCCUGAGAUAUGUUGUUCUAACAGAAAUUUCCAGGAGGUCCUCAGUUACAGCACAAAGCAACAUUCUUGAAGUUAGUAAGAAAUACACAUACUAAACAAAAGAGUAAUAAGAAACGUGCCUGAUAUGCUUUAGUAAAUGCCUGCCAGUACUAACAGUCUGGUAUUUUAAAUGCUUCCAGUCUAAUGAAAGCUUUGAAGCCAAAGGAAAUACAUCUGAUACUUGCGGUCUGAUAAAUCUUUGUGGGUGUGAGCGAUGCUGCAGAAGCAGAGAAGCACCAAGUGCCAACUCAGGUGAAACAAAGUGUGGUACCUGCCCCUUGGAGCAGAAGAGGCUGAGGCAGAUCCAUAUCAAAUGCUUCAGCACCACAUUCUGAGCCCUACCUAGCAGUCAUGGGGUAUGUGCGUACAUUUGCACGUGUGAGUGUUUUAACACUCUGCCACUGCAGUCAAAUCAAGCAAUAUGAUGCACGCAAAAGAUGGCACACGGUGUUGGUAGAUGUUUGGAUAGAACAUCACUAGUGGUUCAGAUCUGGUGCAACAAACUCCUCCCUUUCCUUUCUCCCUUCAGUGCUUUUUGCCCUCUGCUAGCAGGAUCUCAGUAGGUUUUUCUGCUGCGUCCAGUCAUGUGCUAUGCCUGCCCUGCAAUCUGCCAGCACAUUCCCCAUAGUCGCAGUGUGCCAGCAACUGCCACUCAAGAGAGAAGAUCAAGAAAAUUCCAGGCAAGGCAGAGCCAACCUGUCCAACUGGCAAGACGGCUGUGACCAAGAGUAUCGGGGUGAGAGAAGCUGCUCAUUUUAGAUCUGGUUAACGAUUAUACGUACAUCCUCAUUAGAGAGAUUUUAACUCUUCAGAUUUAAAUCUUCUGCUUGAUAUCUUUCAGUAAAGUUUUACUAAAUGUUUUAAUAGCAGAAUCUAGAGUUUCAAAAAGUGUGUAAAAUCCAUUUUUAAUAGUAAUACCUUUAUUUAAAACAUACAGGGUCUAAACUGUUGUUUGAGUGCCUUGAAACACACAUUAUCAUUUAUUUUCUCUGAACACUGAACUUCCCCACUUGCUAUUGCCAACCUAGCAGUGUUGGUCCAACUGCCAUUUCUGAGUUGCUUAUGCUUCCUUUGCUAUAAAAAGAGUACUAAACUCACCUUUGAUGUCAAUGAAUGGAACAGCAUGCUGAUUGUGAAUUUCUGAAAAAGUUUAAAAAUACAUAUUAGUGUAGAUGGCUGGAUUGUCAUUAAGGAGAUCUUUUUCAGACACGAAGAGCCUGUGAUCAGUGCCUGGUCACACACGGCUACUCAUCUCAGUCUCCACAGUAGUAACAAAUGUCAUCUAUAUACAGAAGCUACUCACGUAUCUCUUUUGGCUGACAUUAUUGAUGCUUGUUUUUCUGAACACGUAUAUCAACUAAUUGCUACUGCCAAAGCUUUAAGAGUCAGGUCAAAUAAUGAUGGUUAAGUGACACUUUGAACUCCCAGGGCUCUUGGAAAUAUGAAAGAACUAUUUAUGUUGGUUUGAUAGAGCUACCCUUUCACUUAUCAGGGAGACAAUGUUCCCAAAACGUGCUCAUUUGCUAUGUUUGCUUCUGUACACGCUGAUAGUAGCCCUCCCUGAAAACAACACUUCCCUACACUCUUCCUAACAGAAGAAGAUGGUGGAGGGGAGAAAAUAAAAGCAAGAGGCCUGAUUUUGCAUCUUUCAGACUGUUGUGAUUUAUUAUCACAGUUCACAUCCUUUCUAAAUUUUCUGGAGGUUGGAUAUUCCUAAUCCAUCCUUAACUUUGCCUACUCAACCAGAAACUGUUUCCAGUUCAGUUUCACCAGAGGAGUUUCCUCUCUGUGAUCAGAUCUGUUGGUGAACCCUUCUCUGCCCCUUU